GGGGCUGUAGUUAAUCAUAACAUUUGGUUUGCAAUCAGAAAGUACUACAUAGGUCUGCCUUA
rnacentral:tRNA from 1 species